AAGGAUUUAAUUUAAAGAAUAAAAUAUUAGUUUGUCAAAUUAAAAAUACAAUUUUAGUAAUUCUUU
rnacentral:tRNA from 1 species